rnacentral:rRNA from 1 species
UACGUAGGGGGCAAGCGUUGUCCGGAAUCAUUGGGCGUAAAGAGCGUGUAGGCGGCCUGGUAAGUCCGCUGUGAAAGUCCAGGGCUCAACCCUGGGAUGCCGGUCGAUACUGCCGGACUAGAGUUCGGAAGAGGCGAGUGGAAUUCCCGGUGUAGCGGUGAAAUGCGAAGAUAUCGGGAGGAACACCUAUGGCGAAGGCAGCUCGCUGGGACGUUACUGACGCUGAGACGCGAAAGCGUGGGGAGCAAACAGG